UUCUUUUUUAAGUGGUAAAAUUCUAAAUUAAGAAGUUAAUGUUCUAAAUGAAAAACAAAGAUGGGAAACUUUCAGCAUAGUCAACGAAAAGAAUAGUUGAAGUUUGCUUGAACAACCUGACACCUUGACAUACAAGCUUAAAUUGAAGGAUCACAAAACAAAGAGAGAAGAUAUCCCUUUGUGGAAAAAAAUAACUUAAAUAUAAAGCUAAAAAAAGUUUCAAUGUGUUGCCUAUCAGUUAUUUCUUCCCCAAAAGGCAGAAACUUUUAUAAAAUAUUACCCAGAAAUUGUCAAGGUACUUUGGAAUGGGGUUUUGUGUCAUUUAAAUAUUCUGCCACUUCCCUGCCUUGAAAAUGCUGAAGCUGAAAUGGAUACAGAGCCCCACAGAUCUUUAGUAUAAAUUGUGCAUUGUUAACAUAAAAUAUUAAAGAAAAAUAAACUUUGGGCUUUGUCAGUUGAGAGAGAAGUUUAAGCAUAAUACUUUGAUUUUCAAAACACACAAGUGAAACCUCUUGGUUUUUAAACAAUUGUUCCAAGUGUUUCUCUCUCUGGGUUGGGGAUGUGGCAUUAUGCACAUUUUUCUAUUUUUAAUAUUUAGUGUUAUAGCUCACGGUUAAAAUAAUGAAAAAUUAGUCUCGUUUCAGAAAUUAUUUAUUUAUGGACUGAACAUGAUUAAAACAUAAACACACAAACUGCAGCUGCAACAGAAAAACCUUGAUUUACGGUUAUUAAAUCUUUGGUGGCCGUGUUAAUGUUUCUUUUUCUACCUUUCAUUUGCAUUUUAAUCUAUCGAAUCUUUACAAUUUUGCUGCUUCCUAUUUCAAUGAUUGAUUACAGAUCUGAUAUAAGGGAGAGAGACACACAAAACAAGGCUAGCUUUUCUUUUUCUUUCUGCGCUUUCUUUUUCUCCACCCUGCCCCCCUUCCCCCAGCUGGAUUUCAGAAACUUUCUCCCAAUGCUAAUGUAGACAGAACAAAUUAAUUCUGCUCUUUUAAAUGUCAGGGGUAUAAAUAAAAAAUGUUUUCUGUCCCAAACGUGAAUAUUUUCCCAGACGAUUUUUGAGUUCUAAAAGAUCACCCCGGCAAAAACGCAAUUAACAAGGAUACACACACACACACACACACACACACACACACACACACACACACACACACACACACACACACGCACACACGCACACGCGCGCGCACGCAUAGAACCUGGAUUAAAGAAAGAACACAAGAGAAUUAAAGCUGUACCACCAAAGAGCCCACUUUAGCAGAAGCGAGGACUUAUGAAAGCUCAGCCCUGGACUGGCGAGAUGACUCAACCCCUCUAAGGCGUUUGCUGCCAAGGCUUAGUUUAAUCCCCAUAUCCCACGUGGUUGAUGAAAGAACUGGCUUCUCCAUGUUGUCAUCUGACUCCACAAACACACACGUACACACAUACAUCAGUCCGACCAACCUCCAGAUAAAUACUUAAAUAAUAACUUAAAUAAAAUAAAACAUUUAAGAUGAAACAAAGCUUCAUCCUUGGAACUCAUUGCACAACUUGUAGGCAGCCCCACCAAUUGACGCUUUCCCAGAAAAUGAUCACUUCUUGUAUAACGCUGGGAAGGGAACUCAUGAAUGCUGUAAAUCCUGAGCUCCCUGAGCCUUGUAAGUUUUGUGAGCUUCUUGAAUAAACUCCCUUCUCUUUCCAGCAGGGGAUGUUUUAGCCUGAUGGUAAUAUUGGAGGUAAUAGCUACUGUGUGUGAUAUGUGUGCAUGUGAUUCUGUGUAUGUGUAUAGAUAUAAUGAUAUACAUAUGUAUAUAUAUAUAUGAUAUAUGUGUAUAUAUAUGAUAAAUUUUGGAGCUAAGAAGAUGGGAAAGUAUUUGUACAAUGAGACGUAAAAGUCAAAUAUCUUAUAAUCUGAGGAAACACUGAUCUAGUAGUUACAUUGGUUGGAGAAGGAUCUGUAAGUGGACAAUAAGGAAACCAUAGUCUCCAGAACUGAUGGUCAGUUGAUGCCCAGGUGGGCGGCAGAGAUGGACUCUGAGGGUAGUUCGUCUUGAAGCUAUCGUCUUACUUUGUUUUAGUUGAGAAUUCCAUGCAGUGCAUUUGGUCAUCUUCAUCCUUCUUCCCAUUCCUCCCAGAUCCAGGCCCCUCUUCCCUACCCACACGACUAUUUUCCUCUGCUUGUAACUCACAAGGACUGAUUUAUAUUGUCUUCUACCGUGGCCGUCUAUCAAGUAUCAUAGCCUUAAAGAAGACUGACUUUUCUUCUGACACAAGACAUUAGUUACCAGCGAAGGGGAUGAUGUAAUAGGAAGGAUUAGGUGGACAGGGGACAAGAGGGCAGGGAGUGGAGGAAGGAAAACAGGGAGGGGUAAUAUAUACACGUACACAUAUUGAGUUUCAAUGGGAUGAACUGUCCCUACUAGACGCCACAGGUGGAUAAAUAAAAACCCCAAGGUCAGGUAUGAGUUAAUUCUCUUGGAGUUGGUGGUUAGAGAGUUCCCAGAGAUCCCCCAUAUGUUUUUAGGUUAUCGAUACUGAUUUGUUACCCUCAAGAGCUUGGUAUAUGACCCUGUUUCUAAACAUAUCACAUACUUGAGUCCUAGAACAUUGAAAAUUCAAGCUGGCAGUAAAAUGGAUGCUUUAUACUUACUGGCUAGUUUUCAUAGUGCUGGAAGAUGUUAUCUAUGCUACCAGAGGGGAAAAUUGAUCAUCAGUAAUAUCCAUCUGUGAAUUUUCUAGUAACUUCUGGCCUAACAAAACAUGCCCAUUGAUGCUGUAGUGUUGUGAAUGCCUUGAAGAUAACCAACUACUUUUUAUUGGAUCUAUGGGCCUCUCUGUGAGAUGGAACUCAUACUUGGUACUGUUUCUGGGGUUGAGAACCUGUGGCAAGGCAAAUCAUAGGCCCUACAGGAAACCUACCUCUGUAAUUCUACUGAGUGGCCAUAAUACUAAAUGUAAAGAGUUAUCCUUACAGCCACCAAUAAGCACAACUCUAGACCCUCAUCACAAAAGCUGCAUUUUGCAACUGAUGAUAAUCAACACUGGAACUCACAACUGGCCGGGAUGCAGAGACCAAGAAGUUGUAGAAUGCCUAAACGCCUAAAUGGUACAUCACUGUCACCUUCCUCAUCUCAGAGCUCUGGGAUCAUUGCAGAAGAGGGGAAUUAAAUCAUAAGAUGUACUGGUUGACUGCAAGGCAGUGGUGUCGUCCAGACAUAACAGACAUAACAGGGUUGUCAUAGGUAUGAACUCACACUUACUGUGAGAACACGCAAAGAUCUAAAUGCCAGAUUAAAUCCCAGCAUAAGGGAGGGAGGUGGGCAUGAAGUCCCAACCCCAGCUGAGUAGAUGUUGUCAUUUUCAGGGAGAGACAUGGUGGGAGGUGAGGGAUCGGAGGGGGAGGAGGAGGGCAGAUUUUAUCAGUUGGUCCCUCCUAAGGGUAGAGGGACGUGUUGAGGUAAACGUUAAAUGUUAACCACCACCAUAAGACGGGGGAGAGCGUGGUGACUAAACUGCACAGCUUGUUACCUGGCAUGGAGACUCAGGUGCAACUGUAGAGUAACCGUAGCUUUUUCUGCUCAUUGUAUUACUUUGGUCAUUAGUGUUUAAAUCAUUUGAGGUUUCCCUCUCAGGAAAGCAUGUGCUGACUCCUACAGAUGUAUGUUUGGAGUAUGCUUCACCACUCCAAGUGUGCAGAAUUCCUGUAAUGGGGGGAGGAAAGGCUAAAAUCAGCAUCAAAGACAAUGACCUUGUUAUCCCCUGAUACACAACGACCCCUUCUUGGUGUUUGCACAGCUCUGUUAAUAAAGGGCAGAGGUAAAACACCGCAUCCAAUCCCAUGGCAUCUUGACACACAAAUUCCUAGUAUCUUUCCUCUCUAAAAUAGGAGCCAGGUGUCUUCAAACAUGUUGCAGGGAGCCCUGGAGCAUCCUGCAGUCUCAUCUCCAUAGAAACACAUUGCUUAUGUCAUUAACUAAAUAAUAUACUUUCCUGCCUGGUAGUAAUUUCACUUCUUGUUGCUGGUGUAAACAGAGGGAAAGGUAAAGGUGUGUCUCCACAGCUAAGGAGAGGGGAAAGGGGCAGUGAGCUCCAAGAAGCACAUUUAAAUGAGUGCCGGAGUUCUGUCUUUUCUCCCCUCUUCUUUCUUUCCGUCUUAACAAAUACAAUCAAAUAGCUCCAGUGUAUGUUAAGUUGCCUUUUUCCAUUUUUCCUCUGUGAUUAGGGCAUCUAAAUGUAUAACAUUGAACAGAGCACAAAAGAAACUCGUUCCAACAAGUGUGCUGAAACGCUUACACUUGCCUUGAGUUGAGGAAGACAAUGGCAUGCUAUUGACAACGCUGGCUCAACGUUGCUGUGCACCAGCCGAGGCUCCAAACAAUGAGAGUGUUAUGGACUGGGUCAUGUCCCCUCAGAGUGCCUAUGUUAAAGUCCUAUCCCCGCCCCUCCGAAGGUAGACGUAUCUUGUCUUCAUAGGGAUAGUAAAGGUUAAGAGGAUGUGGUGGACAGAGAGACCAUGUUAUCUCUCUAAGAGGAGGAGGCUUGAGAGAGGACCAGAAAAACUAAAAGAAACAACAAGGAAAACCUGGAAAUAGUUGGAUUUCAGAAGUCCAGAACUGUGUGAACCAAUCCCUGCUGCUUAAGUCCUGGGUACACUUACAGGACUCCCAGGAAUCAAAUGCAGGGAGGGCUUUUGGACUCCUUGCCUAUCUGAGAAACAGUAACUGUAUCCAUUUUCUGAAACAUAGAAAGAUUAGCCCAAGGAUGAGCACUGAGAAGACCUUCCAUUCAUUAAACCUGUGAGCAGGAAUCAAAUGCUCUAACUACUUCCUGUGGCCUUUGCUGACUUAGCUUACCCUGUCAUGCACUCACUAUCUGUCAGACCUCUGUUAAACCAUUUUUUCCUGUAUUAUGAUCAAUCAUACAAAAGCUUCAUUUUGUAUGAAGUUUGACUAUGAAGUUUAUAGGCAGUAUUCAUGUUGUUUCUAAUGAGAAUUAGAAAUUGAGUAGAAACUGUAAUUACAUUCAUGACUUCAUCCCUCUAGGUUUCUGAAAUUUGGUCUAGCCAUACUAUCUGGUCAAUUCUCUUUAGUAUUUUAUGAAUCUCAGGUCAGUUCUAACAUUUGGCACUUUUAGUUAAAUAAAAUUUAUUUAUUCCUAGGGACGUGAUAGAGUUGGCAGAAGAAUGCCAGUGGUCUACAGCUGCUCGUUUCUGUAAGUCAUAUGUAUGAGAGCAGAUUCUUCUGAAGAUGUUUCAGGUGACCAAGACCAGAUCUGACAUUUGAGGACCUGUCUGUAACUGGUGGCUUAAAACCACCAUGUUUACUGUAAAGUCUGCUUUAGAAACAGUCGUAAGUGGUGCCCAGAACCUGCGGUGAGCAGAGGGACGUUUGCUAAAUAUGUUUGCCUUCCAUGGCUUUUUGUGGCUAUUACUCUUGGGAAAAACUAGGGUGCAGGGAGGAAGGCAGAGGGUUAAGAAUGGGCAUCAAGUUGGGGAAGACUUAACUUUUGAAAACAUCUCUAUUACAGAAUGUUUUCAGAUACAUGCAAACAUUGAGAAACUGCCCAAUAAAGCCACGGGCUUUAUGAAUGACAAUGAGAAGCACCUUGGGAACUUUGCCUCCUUAUAUCACUUUUCUUCAUCUCUCCCUUUCUUCCUCCCUCCCCUUCCUCCUUCUCUGCCUUCCAUUUUCCCUCCCUCCUUAUUUUCUUCUUCUUUCUUCCUGCCUCCCUCCCCCUCCCUCUCUCUCUUCCUUCCUUCCUCUCUUUCUUUCUUUCUUUCUUUCUUUCUUUCUUUCUUUCUUUCUUUCUUUCUUUCUUUCUUUCUUUCUUUCUUUCUUUCUUUCUUCCUUUCUGCCCCACGACUCCCCAAGACAAGAGCUUCUCUGUACACAGCCCUGGCUUAACUGGAACUCGCUCUGUAGACCAGGCUGGCCUCUAACUCAGAGAUCAACCCUUGCCUCUGCUUCCAGAGGACUGGGAUUACAACUUCAUCUCAUUCAUGACAAGAGGUACAGUAGUAUGACUUUAUUUUGCUGUAGUCUUAAAUGUUACAUUCUUUAAUACCUCUAACGAAAAUUUAAUCAACGUUAUGUGGGUGCAAGCUUCAAAUUACACAGAAGUAGGAACAAUAGUGAAAACAUUCUUUUUAUCCUUUACUUAAAUGUCAUUAGUUAAAACCUUUUUAAAAAAUUUUGUCAUAUAAUUCGUAUUACCUUUUUAUGAAUCAUUUGAGAAUAAGUUGGUGAUAUUAUAUUCCUUUCCUACUAAAUAUUUCAGUCCAUAUGUCACUAGAAAACACUGGACAAUUUAAAAAACAUAAUUAGAGAAUGACCAUCCAACUUAAGGAAUCUAAUGUGGAUACAAUAUAACUGCCUAAGGCACCGCCAUGCUCCGAUGUUAUGGUUACAAUGUUUUCUUUCUCUUAUCUUUUCUCUGAUGUAGGCUCUAUGUAAGAACCUAUGUUACAUCUUGUUUGUCUUUUCAGUAUCCUUAAUUCUGCGGUACUUUUUUAGCCUUUACCCCCUUUCAUGGUCUCCAGUUAAUUUGUGAAUGUCCUGUAGCUGGUCUCUUCUGAUGGGUCCAGGCUAUGCAUUAAUGUCUAGAAGUGAUGCUGUAGCCUCAGCAUGUGUAUCAGUGGGCACAUUACGUUACUGUGCCCUCACAUGGGUGACACUGACAGAUCACUUUGAUGGUAAGGUGUUGUUGGCUGAAUGGAAUGCACUUAGGGAGUAUUUAUAUAAAUGUUCGUUUCCUUGUCAAACAUUGACAUUGAUCUUGUAACAUUGACAUUUUAAACUUCAUAUUCUAUAACUUAAAAAGCUAUCACAUUUGUAGCUAAUAAUCUGUAAUUUUAAUAUAUUUAUACUUUAAUAUUUUACAUCAAGGACAUGUUAUGCCUUCUCCUGAUUACAUUUCUUUAUUUAUUUCCAUUAGAAUGGACAAAUAGAUUCAUCAUUUAGUGGUUAUAAUUUAUAAUACCAUCAUUUGAUGCUCAAAUUCCUUAUAUUUUCUUAGCUGAAACAACUCCAAAUGCAUCUUCUGUGCUUUUCGAUGUGUUGUAAAGGACACUUAACUUUGUAUAUUCCAUGCUGAAACAGGCCGAGGCUUGUUCCUUUGUUCACAUGCAGUAAGCACAGAAAUAAUGGGGUCUCCAUCUGAACCCUUCAAGCUUUCAGACUAUCCCCAGAGCAAGGCAUUGUGAUCAGUUGGGCAGAAUGAGGAUAUUUAACUAUCUGGCUAGGGACAGUGGCAUCAAGAGUCUCUCACGCAGUUCUCCUGACAGUGGCUAUUACAAAAAGAGUUUCCCAUCGAAAAGUCAGGCAAUGGACUUCUUAAUUUCUGGCUUCUGUCUGAAACAGGUUUCUUGAGCCAGUUAAUUGAACAUAAAUGACAAUUGACCUUGGAGGGAUUAACUUGCAUUUUGAGGUCAUUUUAAUGGCAGAGCUAUUUGGGUGCUUUCAGGCAGCCUUAGCUUUUAUAUACUUUUCAGCUAAGUUAGACGUGAAAAUGUGCCACUUGGAG